CCUACGGGAGGCAGCAGUGGGGAAUAUUGGACAAUGGGGGGAACCCUGAUCCAGCGACGCCGCGUGAGUGAAGAAGUAUUUCGGUAUGUAAAGCUCUAUCAGCAGGGAAGUAAGAAAUGACGGUACCUGACUAAGAAGCCCCGGCUAACUACGUGCAAGCAGCCGCGGUAAUACGUAGGGGGCAAGCGUUAGCCGGAUUUACUGGGUGUAAAGGGAGCGUAGACGGCGAUGCAAGUCUGAGGUGAAAGGCGGGGGCUCAACCUCCAGACUGCUGUUGAAACUGUAUGGCUGGAGUGCAGGAGAGGUAAGUGGAAUUCGUAGUGUAGCGGUGAAAUGCGUAGAUAUUAGGAGGAACACCAGUGGCGAAGGCGGCUUACUGGACUGUAACUGACGUUGAGGCUCGAAAGCGUGGGGAGCAAACAGGAUUAGAUACCCCAGUAGUC
rnacentral:rRNA from 1 species